GACGAACGCUGGCGGCAAGCUUAACACAUGCAAGUCGAACGCCGUAGCAAUACGGAGUGGCAGACGGGUGAGUAACACGUGGGAACGUGCCUCUCGGUUCGGAACAACUGAGGGAAACUUCAGCCAAAACCGGAUACGCCCUUCGGGGGAAAGUUUACGCCGAAAGAUCGGCCCGCGUCAGAUUAGGUAGUUGGCGGGGUAAUGGCCCACCAAGCCGAUGAUCUGUAGCUGUUCUGAGAGGAAGCUCAGCCACACUGGGACUGAGACACGGCCCAGACUCCUACGGGAGGAAGCAGUGGGGAAUAUUGGACAAUGGGCGCAAGCCUGAUCCAGCUAUGCCGCGUGGAUGAAGAAGGCCUUCGGGUUGUAAAGUCCUUUCGGCGGGGAAGAUAAUGACGGUACCCGCAGAAGAAGCCCCGGCUAAUUUCGUGCCAGCAGCCGCGGUAAGAC
rnacentral:rRNA from 1 species